rnacentral:tmRNA from 1 species
GGGGACGUUACGGAUUCGACAGGGGUGAAUCGAGCUUGAGUUGCGAGCCGAGUCGGCGAGCUCGUUAAAACGCCAAAGCCUAUAACUGGCAAAGAAAACAACAACUUCGCUUUAGCUGCGUAAGCAUGCUAGCGGUUCCUCCCUCCAUCGCCCAUGUGGUAGGGUAAGGGACUCACUCUAAGUGGGCUACGCCGGAUUCCACCGUCUGAGGAUGAAGGAAGAGAUUAAUCAGACUAGCUGCGUAGAAGCCCGUCAGCAGGCCGAAGCGUUCGCGAAUUGCUAAUAUGUUGACUACGCUCGUAGACGCUUAAGUAUCGACAUUUCUGGACGUGGGUUCGACUCCCACCGUCUCCACCA